rnacentral:lncRNA from 1 species
CAUGGGAAGACCCAUCCCAGAAGUCAGAAUAUCUGUAAAAGGUGAGCCAGAAUUGGGGGAUGUUUUUGUAAUCACAUUCCUUUUUAAUAAGGCAUAUUUUCCACUGAUUGCAGCAUGAUGAAAUCUUCAUUUCCUACACAAAUCGAACUACAGUCCCUCCCUGACCCUAACUACAGAUGCCCAAAUAACAAGAGAGCACAACCAUGUUGCUAAGCAAAUAGGUGGUCAGCUGCCGUAUAGCUGAAUGUUCAAGUUCGUGAACCUAUUCCCUUUCCCUCCCAACUCUAUGCACACACUAAAAAGCAAAUGUUCCCACAGAACUUUCUCCUCGCCCAA